rnacentral:lncRNA from 1 species
ACGGUCGUCUUCGUCCCAGGACAAGCGGGUUCGCCUUGUGCUGUAAGUGUGUGGCAUGGUGUCCCAGCUGGCGUUUGCACUGAGACCGAAAAGAAGGUUUGGGGCACCUUGGAGCUUGGUGUGAAGGAGAAUUUAUCAGCAGAUAACAGGAUUAUGUGGAAUAUGCGCAGUGGCCUUGAUCCUGUAAAUGUUAUAACUUCCUAGUACCAGCAUGACAGCAACAUCCCAGUGAUGCUGUGAAGCCACUCAGUCCUACGGCUGAAAUAUUUCAGGUUCAGUCCCCACCUCAGAGCCCUGGUUACAAAUCCUACUGCCAUUUCACCGAGGGGCAGAGCAUGAAGAAUAGCAAGAGCUGAAAAGCUGRUGCUAGAUUACAAAAUAAGAAGGACAAUCAGAUGGUCACUAGCUAUGGCCAGGAAUCAAGGGAAGAAACAGAAGCCUCCGGCAUAUGAACUAGUCUUCUCCAAAGGAUCCCAUGGGAAGCUCAGUUGAUUUUUUCCYCCCGGGGACAUGAGCCCGUUAGAUGUUUGUGUGCUGAGGGGUUUAGCAUACAAGCACUGCUGUCUUCAGUGCAUCAUGAUGGAGGAC